rnacentral:rRNA from 1 species
AUUGAACGCUGGCGGCAUGCUUUACACAUGCAAGUCGAACGGCAGCGCGGGCUUCGGCCUGGCGGCGAGUGGCGAACGGGUGAGUAAUACAUCGGAACGUGCCCAGUAGUGGGGGAUAGCUCGGCGAAAGCCGGAUUAAUACCGCAUACGACCUGAGGGUGAAAGCGGGGGAUCUUCGGACCUCGCGCUAUUGGAGCGGCCGAUCGCAGAUUAGCUAGUUGGUGGGGUAAAGGCCUACCAAGGCGACGAUCUGUAGCUGGUCUGAGAGGACGACCAGCCACACUGGGACUGAGACACGGCCCAGACUCCUACGGGAGGCAGCAGUGGGGAAUUUUGGACAAUGGGCGAAAGCCUGAUCCAGCAAUGCCGCGUGUGUGAUGAAGGCCUUCGGGUUGUAAAGCACUUUUGGCGGGAACGAAAAGGACUGUGCCAAUACCACGGUUCGAUGACGGUACCCGCAGAAUAAGCACCGGCUAACUACGU